GAUGAAGAACGUAGCGAAAUGCGAUAAGUAAUGUGAAUUGCAGAAUUCAGUGAAUCAUCGAAUCUUUGAACGCACAUUGCGCCCGCCAGUAUUCUGGCGGGCAUGCCUGUUCGAGCGUCAUUUCAACCCUCAAGCCCCCGGGCUUGGUGUUGGGGAUCGGCCUAACCGCCGUCCCCCAAAUACAGUGGCGGUCUCGCUGCAGCCUCCCCUGCGUAGUAGCAACACUCGCAUGCGGAGCGCGGCGCGGCCACGCCGUAAAACCCCCGACUUUCUGAACGUUGACCUCGGAUCAGGUAGGAAUACCCGCUGAACUUAAGCAUAUCAAUAAGCGGAGGA
rnacentral:misc_RNA from 1 species